rnacentral:rRNA from 1 species
CCUACGGGGGGCUGCAGUGGGGAAUAUUGGACAAUGGGGGCAACCCUGAUCCAGCCAUGCCGCGUGUGUGAAGAAGGCCCUCGGGUUGUAAAGCACUUUCAGUGAGGAAGAACGCCUGGUGGUUAAUACCCAUCAGGAAAGACAUCACUCACAGAAGAAGCACCGGCUAACUCCGUGCCAGCAGCCGCGGUAAUACGGAGGGUGCGAGCGUUAAUCGGAAUUACUGGGCGUAAAGCGCGCGUAGGUGGCUUGAUAAGCCGGGUGUGAAAGCCCCGGGCUCAACCUGGGAACGGCAUCCGGAACUGUCAAGCUAGAGUGCAGGAGAGGAAGGUAGAAUUCCCGGUGUAGCGGUGAAAUGCGUAGAGAUCGGGAGGAAUACCAGUGGCGAAGGCGGCCUUCUGGACUGACACUGACACUGAGGUGCGAAAGCGUGGGUAGCAAACAGGAUUAGAUACCCUGGUAGUC